AACGCCGAAUUUAUCUCGGGAUGGAAGACGAGCGAGCGUGUGCAGAAAAAAUCCUCGGACGAGGAGAGGGAGUAACGUCCAACGAAAGAGUUCGAUUCAUACCACCAUCGGGAAAAGUGGUGCAGUUGCCGUAAAUGCGGUCGCCGAAGUUGCCAAGGUUCCAAUUCAUCGGGUGCAGGGAAAUCCAGUUGGAAAUGAGCAGGAUAGACACCGUAAAAAAAUCGUUAUGAUCAUACUUGGAAUAUUUCUGUUUCUACUGGUCGCAUCGGUUCUCGUCGUCGUCGUCACUCUCACUCACAGCUCUUUUCACAGCGUUCCAAACGACGCCGCGAAAGAGUUGGAAGCACAUCGAAAUAACCAACUUCGUAAGGAGAACGAAGAAUUAUUAAACUCGUUAAGUCGAGACAACUUCGUGCCUGAGAACGUUACAACUUUACCAUGAAAGUACGACA
rnacentral:misc_RNA from 1 species